rnacentral:misc_RNA from 1 species
GAUGAAGGACGUAGCGAAAUGCGAUAAGUAAUGUGAAUUGCAGAAUUCAGUGAAUCAUCGAAUCUUUGAACGCACAUUGCGCCCCCUGGUAUUCCGGGGGGCAUGCCUGUUCGAGCGUCAUUUCACCACUCAAGCCUCGCUUGGUAUUGGGCAACGCGGUCCGCCGCGUGCCUCAAAUCGACCGGCUGGGUCUUCUGUCCCCUAAGCGUUGUGGAAACUAUUCGCUAAAGGGUGUUCGGGAGGCUACGCCGUAAAACAACCCCAUUUCUAAGGUUGACCUCGGAUCAGGUAGGGAUACCCGCUGAACUUAAGCAUAUCAAAAGCGGAGGA